rnacentral:sRNA from 1 species
UCUCUUCUUGUAUAAUUGAGCUUGUAGAAAAGUUAAGACGGUGGCUAUUUCCAAUCGGAGGUGGUGCUUAUGGUGUUAAACCUUUAAAGCCCAUAAAUCCUAACGAAAGCCAGCAUUAAUUGUAAAGUGUCCGUUGCGGACGCUUUACAAUUAAUGCUGGCUUUCGGUACCUUUAUCGUAGCCUUAAUUGCAU